AUCGUGUCCUCUCAGGAUUUCCCGUCUGGGGGCAAAUGGGUGGCCAUUAAAGGGACAGGUCACCGUGUAAGGAUUUUACUUAAUUAACAAUGUGCAUUAACUGGGGCUUAGGCCACGGAGCUAUUUGCUUUGUAGAAUCUCGACUCGUUCUCACCUCUGCCUCAGACUCGCCUGGCAUCAGAGGGCGAUGUGCUCUUUCGUACCUUGCUCUCAUUUUCUGGGCUGCGGUAAUGUAGCACGGGGGAGAUGGAGAAAAGGUCUAAAGCCCCUACGACGGUGGGAAGGACAGUCAGCUCCGGUCAGUGAGGGUCUUGGAAAGGCUAAGGUACGUGAGCAAAGCGGAGUGUGGAUGCUGCGUGCAGUGUUAGGGGUCCCCAGGAAAUGUCCACGAGCCCCUCUGUGGACGGGGCUGAGGAGGGGUGGCCAGAACUGUAGGCCUGGUGUGCCCAGGCCGCCCUCGCCAGCCUCCCCCAGCUCAGGAGGUGGCGGCCCCAGGGCUGAGUGUGUGGCUCCGCUGGGGGCUCGCCCCACCCCUGCUCACAGAGGCCCUGCUGUGUCGUCGGGUCUCCAAGGUGCCAGGUGGACGUGGCCUCAGUCACCACGCUGAAGCAGGAUGCCGAGCGACCUCCUGUGGAGGUCAUGCCCUCCUAGCUGGGCGCCCUCCUCGGCCCAUGGUUGGGGCGGACUGGGCACUGGCAUGUGCUGAGAAAGGGCAGACCCCUGCCAGUCUGUACCUGUGCCCCCCUCCUUCUCUCUGGGCUGCCAGCAGAGCGCCCCAGGCCCAAGGGGCGUGCUGGAACUGAAUGCCCCUCUCCUGAGGGUGGAUCAGAAGCUUUGAAAGCCAUGGGCCACCCCGUGCUCUGAGCUAUCUUCUCUUAAACCCAAGAACUGUGAUAGAGGACUGGCCACGGCUGCCUCUGGGCAGCGGGCAGGCGGGGCAGCCCCUCCACCCACUUGAGCCAUCUCCCCAGGAGCUCCUAGCCUGGAGGGAGAGCUGCCCGCCUUUCCCCUCGUGCAGGCCGAUGCUGGCUGAGCAGAGGACAUGCCAGUCCCAGCCCAGCUGCCUGCGCAGCCCUUGACUCGGCUGGACACUCUUCUGGGGGCCUCCGGCCUCCGGUCCCAGCAACUCAGGUUUUCAAGGGUGGUACUGACGAGGGGUGAGUUCCACCAUCUCACUUGGUCUUUGGACCCCUGUCCUUACACCUCUAUGAGGAGGGGUGUGGCCCCUAUCUGCUCGUCGGUCAUGGCAGCCACCCUCCCCACGUGGCCACUGAGCCCUGGACACAUGGCUGUGUGACUAAGGGGCUGAAUUUUAGUUGCUUUAUUUUAAUCGACUUUAGCAGUUCACAUGUGCCAGGGGCUCCUGUGUCAGCGUCUGUGUGUAAAACCGACCCCACCGAGGGCAGAUCCCUCUGUGCAGGUGGGGGGUAGGGGAGCGGCCAGCAGCCAGGGCUGGUGAUGGGCUUGGCCGUGGGCAAGCAGGUGCAGGCUGCGCCAGGCCAACACCCUUGCCGUGUAGAUGGCAGGCAGAGCCCGUCCGAGCCUCGGCCUCAGACGGCUGGGGCAUGCUUGAUGCCGAGGCGGCAGCUUCCGCUCCCACAGUGGGUCGUCGCAGUCCAGUCCCACGUGGGGUGCACCAAGGAGCGGUCCUGGGGGAAUUGGUUCCCUCCGCCGGUGGCCAGGCCUCUGCCGACCCGGAGCCAGCACUGCUCUUGGGAGCAGGCAGAGGGGACGCCCGACCAGCAGGCAGGAGACGGAGAGGGCCUGGCGUCUCCACGGAGCGGCGAGCUGGGAACCUGGGUGGGGAGCCGGGUCUGCAGGGAUGGGCCCGGCGAGGCCGGAGCACCCUGCCAGGGGCUGCAGCCGGCCUGGACGAGGCCCCCAGGGUGCCGCACUCCCCCACCUGGCUUCCCUGGGCCCCAGGCGGCUGCACAGGAACAGCUUGAGGCCCUGGGUGAGGGAAAGGCCUCCUUGGCCCUGGAGCGAGAUGCUGUGAUGUGAAACACCGACUCGUGCGGCGGCAGAUGCGUGGGCUCCCGAGGAAGCCACAGGUUGGAGAGAGCAGGCUUGGUUUCUCCCCUAGGACGCCAGCCUCUGCCCCCAGCAGGGCUGCUCCUCUGCCAGGGCACAGCUGCUGAUGGGGGUGCAGCCCUGGUGCCUGCAGGGCUCGCCCACCUGGCCCCACACCAGUGUCCCCGGCCCCCAGGUGCCCUGCAUGUGGGCAGAGGGCAGCGGUGGGCCUUUCUGGCAGCUUGGCCAGCUUGGCGUCCGCUGCCCCAUCUCAGGCAGUUCAUGCUGGUCUCGCAGGACAGAGGGGCUGUGCUUGGAGCCCCACUGCAGCCCUGCGCCCUCUGAGCCCCUUCCUGACCACUGUGAGCAGGACCCCGGCCACGCCCACCAGCCCCGUCCUUGAACUAGCUGACCGUGGGACCAAGUGACUGUCUCAGACACGCAAGACGGUGGACGGUCGAGGUUCGGAGGCUGAACUGACGGGGCUCCAGCUUGUCUCCUGGGAGAUGCAAAGCGUAGCGUGUGAGUGCUAGACAGAAAAGAAGGAGAAGGAGGAGUGUGCCCUGUGCCCUCAUCCAGGGCAAGGACCCGUAUGUCGCAGGACGGCCGUGACCCCCAGCAGCAAGGCCAGCCUCAGGCAGACGCGAAUGGCAGCCUGCUCCUGGAGUGCCCACUCUGUUAUCAAAUUU